UGGGGAAUAUUGGACAAUGGGCGAAAGCCUGAUCCAGCCAUGCCGCGUGUGUGAAGAAGGUCUUCGGAUUGUAAAGCACUUUAAGUUGGGAGGAAGGGCAUUAACCUAAUACGUUAGUGUUUUGACGUUACCGACAGAAUAAGCACCGGCUAACUCUGUGCCAGCAGCCGCGGUAAUACAGAGGGUGCAAGUGUUAAUCGGAAUUACUGGGCGUAAAGCGCGCGUAGGUGGUUUGUUAAGUUGGAUGUGAAAGCCCCGGGCUCAACCUGGGAACUGCAUCCAAAACUGGCAAGCUAGAGUACGGUAGAGGGUGGUGGAAUUUCCUGUGUAGCGGUGAAAUGCGUAGAUAUAGGAAGGAACACCAGUGGCGAAGGCGACCACCUGGACUGAUACUGACACUGAGGUGCGAAAGCGUGGGGAGCAAACA
rnacentral:rRNA from 1 species